CGUACACUCCUACGGGAGGCAGCAGUGGGGAAUAUUGGACAAUGGGCGCAAGCCUGAUCCAGCCAUGCCGCGUGAGUGAUGAAGGCCCUAGGGUUGUAAAGCUCUUUCACCGGUGAAGAUAAUGACGGUAACCGGAGAAGAAGCCCCGGCUAACUUCGUGCCAGCAGCCGCGGUAAUACGAAGGGGGCUAGCGUUGUUCGGAUUUACUGGGCGUAAAGCGCACGUAGGCGGACUAUUAAGUCAGGGGUGAAAUCCCGGGGCUCAACCCCGGAACUGCCUUUGAUACUGGUAGUCUUGAGUUCGAGAGAGGUGAGUGGAAUUCCGAGUGUAGAGGUGAAAUUCGUAGAUAUUCGGAGGAACACCAGUGGCGAAGGCGGCUCACUAGCUCGAUACUGACGCUGAGGUGCGAAAGCGUGGGGAGCAAACAGGAUUAGAUACCCCGGUAGUCCCAUG
rnacentral:rRNA from 1 species